UUUUUUUUUUCUUUGCUUUUUAGGGAGGCUCUUAUGGCAUAUGGAAGCUCCCAGGCUAGGGUUUGAAUCGGAACUAAAACUGCCAGCCUACACCACAGCCACAGCAACUCCAGAUCUGAGCCACAUCUGUGACCUAUACCAUAGCUCACAGCAACGCCAUAUCCUUAACCCUCUGAGGGAGUCCAGGGAUUGAACCUGCAUCCUCAUGGAUACUAGUCAGGUUCAUUACCACUGUGCCACAACAGGAACUCCUCAUUUGCCAUUAUUUAAAACAACAUUCUUGACUGCUCCAUAUCCUUUAGUUUUGCCAGUGAACUCUUGGAGAAAGCACUUUAAAUCAUUUUGUCCUCUCUUCUAGCUAUCACAGUAUCAUAUAAAUUAUAGGAAAUGAGAUCCCUUUUGGAAAUUUCUGUUAGCUAUUCAAAGGCAUAUUUUCAUAAUUAACUCUGUUCAAAGUAAUUACAGAGAGGUACAUCAGGUUAAAAAUAUUUCCAGAAGAGGCACUAUUUUCUUAUCAUUAGUCACCUGGAAAUAGGCAAUGUGUGCAUAAUCCUUAAGUAAAUCAUCACCUCAACAUCUUAGAGAUGGAUGUAAACUAGCAGGGAGGGAGUUGCUCUUUCAAUUAUCUCAGGUUAAUGUCUAGGAAAGAAAUCACAAAUACAAACUAAAUAAUUUUGACACAUAAAAAUUGAAUUCUUAAAUUAAACUAUACUAAUGGUGGCAGUUAUACAGAGUUGAAUUUCCAAUCAAGAUUCACAAAACCAAGGAUAACAAGGCUUACAAAUCCACACUUUACUGAAGAAAAAUAAAAUACACCAACAGUAUUAAUGAAAGAACAUGGAUCAUGAUCAAGGGUGGCCUCACAACAGGGAGUUUGAACAGAUUUGGUGUGAUUUCCCAGUCACCUUAUCUCUAUAAGGUCUGUACCAGAUGUUCUCUUUCUCCAGUCAGGAACCACUGACGUGGCCACGGAACUUCAUGGAACUAAAAUAGGGUUGCUGUACCUACUGGUCACCUCAGCACAUUGUUUUCAUAUAACUAGCUCCAAAGACAAGGCCCUCCAGGAGGCUCAGAAGGACCAAGUGAAACUCACAAAUCUCACUGUUAUCAACUUUGCUAAUAAAUUGGCACAAAUUGUCCACAAGUUCUUUGAAUACAUGGUUAAAAAGCAACAUUGCUAAUCAAACUAUUUGAGCCAGAUGAAUAUGUUAAUUUUUAAUCAAGAUAGAUAUCCAUAUUAGCUUUGUGGCUCAAAUAUGAAUUUGAUCUACUCUGUACUGCUUUCAAUAUCUCACACUCUCUGUUUGAACUUGCCCAACAUAAUUUUGAAGUAUCAUCUAGUUAAAUAGAUUUCCCUUAUUUUAUCUGAGUAGGAUGACUAUGAGUAAUAGGUAUCUUAUAGAAUUUCCUCUUGGGUAAGAUAUCACUGGUUCAAAAUUUUUCCUCCUGUUGUUUCAUCAUACAGAUUAAAUGAAUGCCAUAUCAAUAUCUCCUAAGAUAGCCACUUUUGUUUACUUUAUAUUUAAGCUUGUACAUAUCUGAGGGGAAUUAUAAUAUUUUUUAUGAGAUCCAUAUUCGAAUUCUGUUUUUGUCCCACACUAGCUAUGUAUCAUCACUAAUUUGAUUUUCAGUUCAUUUCAGUAGUUAAUUCAAAAUUCUUUCAUGAUUCCCAGACUUUGAUCCUUCCUCCUUCUUCCUCUCUUUUUCACACCUUACUUCCCCAUCUCCCUCCCCUACUUCCCUGAGAAAACAAAAGUCAUCACAAUAAAAACACACAUGCAAAUUUCUCAGUUCACACCCAGUUGCACCUGCACAGUCCUUCCCUGCUCGUUGUUGGCUGGCUCCUACCAGGCCCUCUAGCCUUCAGGAAGAUUCUUAGUCACUGUGUCUCUCUGCUCUUUCACAUACUUUUUCUAAUUUCCCACUUAAAUCUUAUCUUUCCUUUAUUGUUUAAAGAACAUAAAUAAAAAUUCAAUAGAAAUGUUCUACUCCUUUACUUUUUUCUCCAAAUAAUACAUUACCUUACCUUUUCAUAGCAAACUUUUUGAAAAAUUAUUCCUAUUUCUUUUAUAUUGUUAAAAUUUUUUCAAUGACACUUGUUAAAGCAUGAUAAGGAAGAGUUUAUUUUGGGAGGGGUCACUAUCAUAAAAGGUAGAGUAAACACCACUGUGAAAUUUUGCAGUGUGUGAGAGAGGUUGGGUUUAAUUCUGAAUACAGCACGGUCAAGUGGGAAUUUAUAGCCAAAGAACAGGGUGGCAGUCAGUGGAUGGAAAAUAAGAAAACGUCAGGGGUAUGGGGGAUUCUGGCUAAACCAAUCCAAAAGGAUUCUUGAAAGAUGGGCUGGGGUAAUCAAACAUUACCUGGGGGAUUGUGGAGAAUGCAAAACCUCAUCAGAUAUUAGUGUGAUCAGAUACCAAAGUGGACGGAGGGAUUAUGACUAAAGUGAUUUAGCAAGAUUCUUGCUACAACUGGAUUUCAUAAGGAAGAACACAGAUGGGUCUAGGAAAAGGUUCAGGAGCCUGAGUUAAGUUUGGUCAAGCAAAGAAUUUUGUCACUAUCUUCUUAAGGUCUUCCCAUAAGAACUUCCCUAAUAACUUCCACCUAUAGUUUUCUUUAUCAAUCUACAGAAAUCACUCUAAUGACAAAAAUGACAGACAUGUAUGCAAAUCUAAUAAAAACCUAAUGAACAUUUUGCACUUCUUUUGUCUUACUCAUUCAUUUUAUUUUCUCUUUCUUGAAAGUCUUUCUUCCUUUCAUCUUUUCUGGAUUUUCUUCUUUCCACUCUUUUUGCAUCUCAUAGUGCUAUUUUUAUUCUUCUAUUUUUAUCCUGCCCAUUAAUAUUAGAGCUAUUCAACUCUCAAUUUGAUGCCAUUUUCUCUUACUAUAUUUCACUCUCUAUGACUACAAUUACAUUCUAUGUGCAAAUGUAUAUCACACAUUUAUACUUCUAGAUUAUCUCUCUCCUUUAAAACCCUGGCACAUGAUAAUAACUAUGUUAAAGUUUUCAGGUAUCAAUGAUAUGUUAUUAUUUUUAAGAUGGUCAGUCUUGAGUAUCAGACCAAUAGAAACAGUAGAAUAUAGCUGAAAAAGCUCUGCAAAGUUCUCAAAGAACAGAUUUUUUUUUCUGCCUCAAACUAAUUAUGUGACUUUACACAAGUAAUUCAGCUUCUAUUGACCUUAUCUGUUCCCUUAUCUAUAUGCAAAUGUAAAAUCUGCAUUAUUAAAUAAUCUUUAAGGUCUUUCCAACUCUGAAGUUUUAUGUUCAAUUUCAGCUUGGCUAGCUCAAUGAUCCUGAUACCAAUAUUAAGUAACAAGUCACAUUUUAUUGUAAUGUUGUAAGGUAUGGCAUUUAUAUAAAAAACAAGAAAUAUAUUUAAGGUCAUGAAAUAGUUUAUAAUAGCUUUUCUGCUCCUCCAAGUAAACUCAGACAUGGACUUUGUAAUAAGGCAUUGCUGGAAGAAAGAAAAAAAGUGAGAUAAAGGAAGGAAGGAAUCUUAAAAAAAAAAAAAAAGUCAAUGAAUUAGGAUUCAAAAAUUAAAAAAAAAAUACAUACACAUAAAACAAUAGCCAAAUAUACAAUAAAACAAAAUAUAGAUCUAGAAAUCAUAAAGUAGAGAAGUGAAAACAGAAUAUUAAGAACAAGGCAGAAGGAUGGGGAAAUUGCCCAUGAGUGAACAAGAGCUGUAGAAAGAGGUUCUUCUCCUAUGUGUGGUUAUGACAGAAGUAAGGCCUGCACUUCUUUAAAAGGCAACUGAUGGGAGUUCCCGUCAUGGCGCAGUAGUUAACGAACCCGACUAGGAACCAUGAGGUUGUGGGUUUGAUCCCUGCCCUUGCUCAGUGGGUUAACGAUCCGGCGUUGCCGUGAGCUGUGGUGUAGGUUGCAGACGCGGCUCGGAUCCUGUGUUGCUGUGGCUCUGGCGUAGGCUGGCAGCUACAGCUCCGAUUAGACCCCUAGCCUGGGAACAUCCCACAUGCCAAGGGAGCAGACCAAGAAAUGGCAAAAAAUAAAUAAAUAAAUAAAUAAAUAAAUAAAUAAAAGGCAACUGAUGAUAAACUUUCUCACUUCAUAGUUUCUUGAAAGAUAGUGCUGUCACACUACAAAUCAAAUCUCCUGGUCGAUACAGUUUAGGAGAAAAGACCAUUCUUUAACAAUAGCAUUUUUCUCUAGCCAUUGUCCUCUACCCUGGAUUUAUUCUUUAGGCUGUGAUAUAUAGAUCUUUUUAUACCAAACUUCCAUUAAAAAUUAGGCAUAUAACUCCUUCUCU
rnacentral:lncRNA from 1 species